CCUACGGGAGGCAGCAGUGGGGAAUUUUGGACAAUGGGGGCAACCCUGAUCCAGCCAUGCCGCGUGAGUGAAGAAGGCCUUCGGGUUGUAAAGCUCUUUCGGCCGGAACGAAAUCGCGCACGUGAAUAACGUGCGUGGAUGACGGUACCGGAGUAAGAAGCACCGGCUAACUACGUGCCAGCAGCCGCGGUAAUACGUAGGGUGCGAGCGUUAAUCGGAAUUACUGGGCGUAAAGCGUGCGCAGGCGGUUCGCUAAGUCAGACGUGAAAGCCCCGGGCUUAACCUGGGAACGGCGUUUGAAACUGGCGGGCUCGAGUACGGCAGAGGGGGGUUGGAAUUCCACGUGUAGCAGUGAAAUGCGUAGAUAUGUGGAGGAACACCGAUGGCGAAGGCAGCCCCCUGGGCCGAUACUGACGCUCAUGCACGAAAGCGUGGGGAGCAAACCAGGAUUAGAUACCCUGGUAGUCCACGCCCUAAACUAUGUCAACUAGUUGUCGGGGUAAGCAAUUCCUUGGUAACGCAGCUAACGCGUGAAGUUGACCGCCUGGGGAGUACGGUCGCGAAGAUUAAAACCGUCAAAGGUAAUUGACGG
rnacentral:rRNA from 1 species